rnacentral:lncRNA from 1 species
UCCAGUCACCUCCCACCAGGCCCCACCUCCAACAGUGGGGAUUACAAUUCCACAUGCGAUUUGGGUGAGGACAAAGAUCCAAACCAUAUCACCUGCUCACCACCAGCACGUCGCUCUCUUGUUCGUUUCGCUCCCUUGUUCGUUUGCUUUUGCUCUUCCUCUCUUUCACUGCCUAUUUUUCUGUUUCUUUGUAUGUGUGUACUUUGUUUGUUUUCUUUUUCUCCUGUCUCUUCCUCUCCUCCUUUAUCAAUUGUUUCCCCCUCCCUCUUUGUCUCUUUCUUUGACUUUCUUCUUUUAAAAAAAUAUAACUAGCCCUGCCCCUGCCCCUGCCCCUGCCCCUGCCCCUGCCUCUGCCUCUCCCUCUCCCCUCUCCCCUCUCCCCUCUCCCCUCUCCCUCUCGGUCUCCCUCUCCCUCUCUUUCCACGGUCUCCCUCUGAUGCCGAGCCGAAGCUGGACUGUACUGCCUCUGCCUCUGCCUCUCCCUCUCCCCUCUCCCCUCUCCCCUCUCCCUCUCGGUCUCCCUCUCCCUCUCUUUCCACGGUCUCCCUCUGAUGCUGAGCCGAAGCUGGACUGUACUGCUGCCAUCUCGGCUCACUGCAACCUCCCUGCCUGAUUCUCCUGCCUCAGCCUGCCGAGUGCCUGCAAUUGCAGGCGCGCGCCACCACGCCUGACUGGUUUUCAUACUUUUUUAGUGGAGACGGGGUUUCGCUGUGUUGGCCGGGCUGGUCUCCAGCUCCUAACCGCGAGUGAUCCGCCAGCCUUGGCCUCCCGAGGUGCCGGGAUUGCAGACGGAGUCUGGUUCACUCAGUGCUCAAUGGUGCCCAGGCUGGAGUGCAGUGGCGUGAUCUCAGCUCGCUACAACCUCCAUCUCCCAGCCGCCUGCCUUGGCCUCCCAAAGUGCCAAGAUUGCAGCCUCUGCCUGGCCACCACCCCGUCUGGGAAGUAAGGAGCGUCUCUGCCUGGCCGCCCAUCGUCUGGGACGUGAGGAGCCCCUCUGCCUGGCUGCCCAGUCUGGAAAGUGAGGAGCGUCUCUGCCCGGCCGCCAUCCCAUCUAGGAAGUGAGGAGCGCCUCUUCCCGGCAGCCAUCCCAUCUGGGAAGUGAGGAGCGUCUCUGCCCGGCCGCCCAUCGUCUGAGAUGUGGGGAGCGCCUCUGCCCCGCCGCCCCGUCUGGGAUGUGAGGAGCGCCUCUGCCCGGCGGCGACCCCGUCUGGGAGGUGAGGAGCGUCUCUGCCCAGCCGCCCCGUCUGAGAAGUGAGGAGACCCUCCGCCCAGCAUCCGCCCCAUCUGAGAAGUGAGGAGCCCCUCCGCCCGGCAGCCGCCCCGUCUGAGAAGUGAGGAGUCCCUCUGCCCGGCAGCCACCCCGUCUGGGAAGUGAGGAGCGUCUCCGCCCGGCAGCCGCCCCGUCCGGGAGGGAGGUGGGGGGGUCAGCCCCCCGCCCGGCCAGCCGCCCCGUCCGGGAGGGAGGUGGGGGGGUCAGCCCCCAGCCCGGCCAGCCGCCCUGUCCGGGAGGUGAGGGGCGCCUCUGCCCAGCCGCCCCUACUGGGAAGUGAGGAGCCCCUCUGCCCAGCCAGCCGCCCCGUCCGGGAGGGAGGUGGGGGGGUCAGCCCCCCGCCCGGCCAGCCGCCCCGUCCGGGAGGUGAGGGGCGCCUCUGCCCGGCCACCCCUACUGGGAAGUGAGGAGCCCCUCUGCCCAGCCACCACCUCGUCUGGGAGGUGUACCCAACAGCUCAUUGAGAACGGGCCGGGAUGACAAUGGCGGUUUUGUGGAAUAGAAAGGGGGGAAAGGUGGGGAAAAGAUUGAGAAAUCGGAUGGUUGCCGUGUCUGUGUAGAAAAAAGUAGACAUGGGAGACUUUUCAUUUUGUUCUGUACUAAGAUAAAUUCUUCUGCCUUGGGAUCCUGUUGAUCGGUGACCUUACCCCCAACCCUGUGCUCUCUGAAACAUGUGCUGUGUCCACUCAGGGUUAAAUGGAUUAAGGGAGGUGCAAGAUGUGCUUUGUUAAACAGAUGCUUGAAGGCAGCAUGCUCGUUAAGAAUCAUCACCACUCCCUAAUCUCAAGUACCCAGGGACACAAACACUGCGGAAGGCCGCAGGGUCCUCUGCCUAGGAAAACCAGAGACCUUUGUUCACUUGUUUAUCUGCCAACCUUCCCUCCACUAUUGUCCUAUGACCCUGCCAAAUCCCCCUCUGCGAGAAACACCCAAGAAUGAUCAAUAAAAAAAAUAAAAAUUAAAAAAAAAAGUUAAAAAAUAUAUAUAUAUAACUAAUUAAUUUUAACAGACAAAUGAUAAUUGUGCAUAUUCAUGGGGUACAUAGUGAUGUUUCAGUACAUACAAUGUAUAGCGAUCAGAUCAGUGUAAUUAGCAUGGCCAUCCUCUCAAACAUUUAUAAUUUCUUUGUGUUAGGAACUUUUACCAUCCUCCUUCUAGCUAUUUGAAACUCUGUAAUGUAUGAUUGUUAAUUAUAGUCAUCCUCCAGUGCUGUAGAACACUAGAACUUGUUCCUCCUAUCUAGCUGUGAUUUUGUUUCAUUUAACAAAUCUCUCCCUAUCCCUCCCUUCCUCCAACUUUGUUUUACCUCUUCUCUUCUUUAUUCACCUCCACUCUCAUGACCAUCUUUGAAAUCAACCAAAUAUGGAACUUAAAUACAGCAUUUUAGAUAUUCAUAUUUGUAGAAAAUAAUUUUAUACUUGCAGCUCUUAAUUUUAAAAGCAUAUAAGUUUGCAUAUCUCUUUCUUAAAAGAGAAUUCAAGGCCAACAACUUAAAUUUUACUUCUGACAGGAUUUUUUAUUGUUUUCUAUAGGUCAGUGAGCCUGAAUAGACAAAAUAUUUCCUAGCAAAGCCCUCAUAUUUAAUAUUAUGUGAAUUUAAAGUUUUUAAAUCAUAAUUGUAAAAUAAAUAUUUAAUAACUCCUUUACAGAUAGACUUUCUUCUAAGUUGUGCUAAUUUGGUGGUGUUUUGUUGUAUAAAUAUACUGGUUAUAUUAACAUAAAUACAAUAAUCUAAAUGUAGCAUAAUUUUUAAAAUGAGUUUCUCUAUAUUUAUUUUUUAAUUUUUUAAUUUUUAAUUUUUGUAGAGAUUGGGUUUCGCCAUGUUGCCCAGGCUACUCUCGAACUCCUGGGCUCAAACAAUCCUCCCGCCUCAGCCUCCCAAAGUGUUGGGAUUUCAGGCAUGAGCCACCAUGCCCAGUCGAGUUUUGCUUAUAUUUAAUUUAUUUCAUUUACACUUAAUUUUGUAGCUGAAAAUAGGUUUUGAGGAACCUGAAGCCUUAAAGUAAGAAUGUUGAAGAAGAGGACCAGUUCUCCAAGGCAGAAAACGCUAUUACAAAAAGUAGUAUGAUUCUUCUAGGCAUUGUGUCCCUGAGAUCAGGGGCUAAACCAAUUUUUUUUAGACACUCCCUAUCUAACAUCUAUAAAUCUAGGAACUGGAAUUGGAAGUGGAAGAGUCUAUGUAUAGGAAACAUGUUAUUGUAUUAUUUUUUCACAUGAUGCCAUCUUCUAUCUAUGUGCCAAGUGGAAAAUGUCACUGGAAGUGUUUCUUGGCCAAAUAUAACUCUGUUCUGGGAAACUACUUCCUUUAUCAACCGCAGGUAUCUAGACACAUCUUAGAAUAUACUACAGCUCUCCGAGGAGUGCCCACCAUGCUCCUCUGAGCCCAAAAAUCAACUCUCAGGAAAAAAUUGCAAAUUAAUCACAAAGGCAUCUAGACUAGCAUGCAUGUUGCUUCUUUUUCUGGCAGAUCCCUAACCUGGCCAACCAGCUGGACAUGCAGUGUGAGAACUGGGAAUGGGAGUAUCCUGUAAUAGCCAAGCAAGCUGGCUUUUAGAGAUCCCCUUAUGAUUGUCUCAUAGGUCUAUCACACUUAACAUUUUCAAAUCAAAACCCAAUCCCCAAAACAUGUUCUACACUCAGUCUUUCAUAUGUCAGUAAAUAGCACCACCAUACCCCAAGGAGUUCAAGUCAAAACUUAGGACUCAUUCUGGUUUCCUGUUUACCUUGCUCCCAAAAUCCAAUUCAUCAACAAAUCCUAGAGGUUAAUUCCUCCUAAAUAAAUCCUGAAUUUUACCAUCACCACUGAUAUCAUCCUCAUCCAAGCCACCAUCAUCAUUUACCUGGACUUUUGCAAAGGAUUCCUGUUUUCACUAUUGCCCUUCCAUACUCCAUCCUCUAUCCAGCAGAUAGAAUCAUCUGUUAAAAACAGAAAUAAGUCCAUAUCUCUCCUUUGCUUACUCCAGCCCCAUCCAUAGUCUCCCACUGUAAUUAGAACAUAACCAACAGUUGUGCCAUACCCUGUGAAACCCCAUAUGAUCUGGCCUUUCUCCACCUCUACGGUCUCACCUCUUACCUUUCACCCUUUUAUUCAGUUCAUUUCAACUACAUUGUACUUUUUUCUCCUAUCUCAUUAACCUGCACACCAUGCUCAUUUGCACUCAGAGCCUUUGGAUUGCUGUUCCUUCUACCUGAUGUGGUUUUCCCCAGGCCUUCUCAUAGCUGUGUCCUCAUAAUCCAAGUUUCAGCUUAGUUAUCAUCUCCUCAGAGGAGCCUUUCUAUCCCUCCUCUCCCUAUUAAACGUUUUAGAAUUACAUAAAUUUUUAAAAAUUAUGUGCAUCUAUUCCAGCUUUCUUUUGAUUAGUAAAGAUUUAAAAAAUAGAAUUAUGUGCAUCCAUUUUUUCUUUCUUUUUUUUUUUUUUUUUUAGACAAUAUCACUUUGUCACCCAGGCCGGAGUGCAGUGGCAUGAUCUCGGCUUACUACAACCUUUGCCUCCCAGCUCAAGCAACUCACAUGCCUCAGCCUCCCAAGUAGCUGGGACUGCAGGCGUGUGCCACCUCACCUGGCUAAUUUUUGUGUUUUGUUUUUAGUAGAAAUGGGGUUUUGCCUUGUUACCCAGGCUGAUCUCAAACUCCUGGCCACAAGUGAUCUGCCCACCUUGGACUCCCAAAGUGCUGCGAUUACAGGCAUAAGCCACUGCACCUGGCCAGUGUGCAUCUAUUAUUUUGAUAUUUUAAGUUAAAGUAAAAACAAAUAUAUAAAUAAAAUAGCCUCUCUAGUCACUAUUAUAUCACUUUGCUUAGUUUUCUCCAUUGAAGAAAUUAUCUCAAAUUAUUUUCUUUAUGUGUCUACUUGUGUAUCCUGUGUUUCUCACUACAAUGUAAGCUACAUUAAAGAGGGGAUUUGCUUUAGUGACCCCAAGACUGCUAACCUCAUGUCCUAUCAUGUAUCCCAGCACCUUCAAAGUCUUUUGUACAUUGUAGACUCUCAAUAAAUAUUUGUUAAAUGAGUAGAUUUCAGUUAUCCAAGAGACAGGCAGUGUUCUUUUGGCUGAUGCUUAUAUGCAUUCACUUGAAAAGAGUAUUGUAACAAAAUUUGUUCAAGUUGGAUUUUGUUUGCAUAUUAAGAUACUACUGCUGAUACCCAUGCAUAUGGAAUGGGUCUUUGAUACAAGUGAGAAAUUGCCAACACUCAUUUACAGCCUAUUAAUAAAUGGGCUUUAUCCUAUAGAUUAGUAUCUAUGUCCCUGUCAACAUGGCAGUGGUAAAGUUCACAUCAAAGUAAAAAUUGAAAAACAAAAUUAAUGUUAAUUUGGAUUUAAAAGCUCAUACCUGAGUUCUGCUUUCAAGGCAGUGAGGAACUGUGGGGAACUGUCUGGAACUGUUGAUGCUGCAGGUGAAGCUAGAACAUGAGAAUGCUAUAGGCUGGUUUGUAGCACAAUGAAAAUGGAAGAAUAAGAGGUAAGGCCAGUUGCCCGGAGACUCCAAAUAAGAAACAUGGUUAUGAGGAAGUGGUUUAGAAUUAGGGCUUUGAAAAAUAAUAGCUGUCAUUGAUUGAGUGCCUACUAUGUGUGAGGCCAUUCUCCAUAAUCCUUACGGAAACUCCUAAGCUAGGUAUUAUCUCUCCAUUUUACAAAUGAGUAAGCUGAAGUUCAGGAGGUUAAAUGACUGCCAAACCAUACAGUUAUGUAAAAAGUGGAGCAAUGAUUUAAACUAGAUUUUUCAAAUCCUAAAGCUGACAUGCUUUCCACUGUACCACAAUGUCUUCCUUUGUACUGGUGCACUCCAUUUAUUUCUGUGAUUCCUGACACCAAUUUUAGGGCCUGGGACAGCAUCCUAAUGGAAUCAUGCCUAGCUGGAUAGCAAAUGCCUCUGCUGCCAGUAGAGGGGCAACUUAAGAGAAAGGUCCAAGCCAAAUUGGAUCCAAGAGUUUCUGACUAAGCAGGUUUCAAACCUCCUGCUCACACCUCUUCCUCCUCACUUUCUUUCCCAACAUCCUCCCACGGCUCACCUCUACCUCUGUCCACUGGAGACACCAUCCUCCAGGUGCUAAUAAGAAAGCUACUCUGACCAUGGAAAAAGGGAAAGAGGCAGCUCAGCAAAAUCACUGCUGAGAGCCUGGGCAGGCUUAGGCAAUGUGAUCUGAAGAGCUGAAGUGUGCAGCCCACAGAGAGAAAGAAUUGGAUAAAAUACAAAACUAAAGAAGAGGAUAAACCUAAGAGGAAAAUCUUCCUGACAGAGAUGAAUUAGUUACGGGACUAACUCCGCAAAGGAAGAGAUUGGGCUCCGUUCCCUGAGGCUCCCUGAGCAGAAACCAUGUUACAGAGAACAAGUAGGGGGGUUGUGGUUAGCAGGGACAUCAAUGACUAAUAGGUGCUUUCCACCUCUGAGUUUUAUGAAGAUGAGUGGAGUCUUUUUGAAUAGAGAAAGAAAUGAAAAUAAUAAUUAACAUGGAGAGAUGGGGCUGACUAAAGCAUGGCAAAGAUAAACAGGAAUGAGGCUGUUGGCCCUCGUAGUGAGUGUGGAAAAUCAUUUCUUCCAAUUGGGAGAGGCAGAGGUGAUCAGUUCAGAGGUUUAAAUUCAGAGUCCAGGCUCUGUCACUUACUGAUUAUCUGAGCAAAUUAGUUAGCCUUUCUAAGCUACAAAAUAGGAAAAAUACACUAUUUUUCAGAUUAUUUCUCACUGCAGAUUAGGAGUAAUGCCAUUGAAAAGGUUCUUAUGAAGAUUAAAUGAGACAACUCAUGUAAACAACAGUAUCUACUUAGCAUGAAGUAAGCACUCAAAUGACAGUAAUUAUUAUUGGAAUAUGGCUUCGUGUGGAGGGGGAAAUAGAGCUGGGCAAUUAUUAUCAAGGUCACCAUAUGGGGAUAAUUUUUCCCUUUGGACUUAAUGAUGGCAUCUCCUUGGUUUAAUUAUUUGCUGUGUUGGUAGCUCACAUCCUCUCUACUGACUUGGCUUUCAGCUCACGGGAAGAUGAAGCCCAAAUACAAUAGAUACCAAGGCAAGCUUGCCAAAGAGCAGCUCAACCCAUACUGGUACUCUGAGUCAUUCUAAGGAUAAAGCCGCCUCUCCAUGGAGAAGGAUAUUGUACACAGGAGAUAAUACUAAUGACACCGUCCAUUUACUUAGUCUCUUACAGUUUACAAAGCACUCUUACCUGGGAAGGGUUACUAUCUUCAUUUUAUAGAUGAGGAAACAGAGACUUAGAGAGGUGAAGCAACUUGAUUAAGGUUGCAUAGAUAAUUGGUUGUGAGGAUUCACUCCCAGCUCCUCUGACAUCAUGUCUGGGGGCUCUUUUAUACCACAAGAUGCUGCAGGGAACAUGAACAGGUACCAGAUUAGGAGGCUAGUUGCUUUCAAUCAUAAAAACAGUGAAUUUAGGAACAGGAAGAAGCUUUCAGAUGACCUAAUACUGUGGUUUUAGAUUGUGUCCAGGGGUCUAGUAGGCGGUGGAGGGAGCCAAGCAGGAGGCGGGAUCAGCUUUUAUCAAUUAAAUUCAUCAGAUUUUAAUUUGAUGAAAUUAAAAAGAAAAAGAAAGUUGGAAAAACCUAAUCUAGUUCAACUAACUGUCUCAUUUCCCCAAGAAGGAUAUUGAGGCCCAGAAGGGUUAAGUAACUUAUCCAAAUCAGAGCUAAGACUAGCAUAGCACUCAGUCCUCAGUCACCUGCAUAUUUGAUAAGCAUGUCAUAAAUGUCCUCAUUCUCCAAAUAUUUUCCUUUGAUUACCUCAAGCAAGUCACUUACAUGUAAUAAUCAAAUCAUUGAAGAGAAAUUAGCUCUGGUGUGAGUCUCUUCUGAUGACACCAUGUGACCUUGGAAUAGUCGAUUGAUCUCUGGACCCUCAGCUUUUCUAUAGGUAAAAUGGGGAUCAUAAUUUCUGUCUAGACUCUCAGUGGGGCUGUUGUGAUGAAUGUAAAAGAAAAGACCAUAUGGAAGUUCAUAGAGUUCUUCCUGGGAAGGAGACUCAGCAAGUUCAAUGUCUUAUUCUUUAUCAAUACCUACCAAGAAUGUCACUGCUUCUAAGAUGAUAUCUGCAAUUUACCAUUCUCAUUUAUUUGUCAUUCUUUACUCAAAAAGGCAAUGAGGUUUGUAACCAUGUCAGUACUACUGGUUUGUGAAAAAGUCUCAGAAAGUUCUUAUCACGUUGGCUUUCUGAUAAGACUUUUUGAUUUCUACUACUUACAUGUGGAAAGUAAAUCAUUUUAGGUUAAACACCUUUCCUUCUAGACAAGUGACAGAGGCAGAUGUCACUCAGGGUGUUGUAGCAAGCCUGGGGAGCUCAUAGCCAGAUGAGAUCACAGGACUUGUGUGCAGGGUACAGAGUUUGGAACUCUCCCACCUAACUGGCAGUUUCUCCUCCUUCGACAAGGAAUACUAAGAAGAUAUUAUCACAAACUCUUAGGCAGAUCUUGAAAACAGUCUAAUUUGUUUGUGACCUUAGCCAAAUUCUUGAUCUCUCUAAGCUUCAGUUUUCUCACCCGUAUCAUGUACACUUUCCACCUCACAGGGUUGUCAAGGAUCAAAAGAGAGAACACAGGGUGUUUUUGAAAUUGUUGAGCAUCUACUAACUAAAAGGAUUGUUAUUUUUAAGAAUGUGUAAAUUAUUGCAAUUAUUUAUAACAUGCAUUUCAAUUAAAUACUUUCAAUUUGUUAGAAAUACCCACUUGGAUAGAUCAAAUACUAAGGUUGAAGAGAAACAGUGUUUUAAUGUAUUCUGGUCUCUAUGUAGAAAGUAAAAUGGUAAUACUGAGCCAGACGGAGUUAGAGCUAGGGAGCCAGUUAGCCCCUUGCUUGGCAUCAUCAUAAGACAAGAAAUACUUUCAUGUUUUCAUUAAGGACAUUUUAAAUUUAAAAAGAAGAAAUUUUAAAAGCCUUUACCAAAAUUCUGGGUUCCCCAAAUUUCUAACUACAUCCCUUAGAGAACAGCAUUUCUUUGCUUAUCCGUGUUGAUACUUUAAAAAAUCUAGACCUAGUUUCCAUUAUGCAGACAGCCCAGGCACAGAAGCCAACCAGUAUUUUAAGACUGCAAUGUUUACUAAUGGAUGUCUGGCUAGAAACAGUGUUGGCAGAAUCCUGGCAGAGGCAUUUACUCUCACUAAUGAUGUGGAACAGGGCUGCAUAAUUAUGUCCACUUGUAUUAAGUCUACCUAAGACUGUGAUGUUUUGUAGUGGAACCAGAAACAAGCAUCCCAAAAACUCCUGGGAUUUUCCUGCAAGAGGCAUUACAUCAGAACUGGUUCAAGGCCAGGCACGGUAGCUCAUGCCUGUAAUCCCAACACUUUGGGAGUUCGAGGUGGGGGAUCACUUGAGGUCAGGAGUUUGAGACCAGCCUGGCCAACAUGGUGAAACCCCAUCUCUACCAAAAAAGACAAAAAUUAGCUGGGCGUGGUGGCAGGUGCCUGUAAUCCCAGCUACUCGGGAGGAUAAGGGGGGAGAAUUGCUUGAACCCAGGAGGUGGAGGUUGUAGUAAGCCGAGACCAUGCCACUGCACUGUAGCCUGGGC